GGCUCCAUAGUGUAGUGGUUAGCAUGUCUGCCUUGCAUGCAGAAGGUCCUGGGUUCGUGCCCCAUGUGGAGCCA
rfam:Pteropus alecto contig100092, whole genome shotgun sequence.